rnacentral:rRNA from 1 species
CCGAACGCUUGCGGCGUGCCUAAGAAAUGCAAGUCGAGCGGACUUUUAGACUUCGGUUUAGAAGUUAGCGGCGAACGGUCGCGUAACACGUAGGCAACCUGCCCAGAAGACCGGGACAACACCUCGAAAGGGGUGCUAAUACCGGAUAUGUCCAAGCUAAGACAUCUUGGUUUGAGUAAAUCCUCUUCGGGGGGCUUCUGGAGGGGCCUGCGGCCUAUCAGCUAGAUGGUGAGGUAACGGCUCACCAUGGCGACGACGGGUAGCUGGUCUGAGAGGAUGGUCAGCCGGACUGGGACUGAGAUACGGCCCAGACUCCUACGGGGGGCAGCAAUUAGGAAUCUUGCGCAAUGGGGGCAACCCUGACGCAGCGACGCCGCGUGGAGGAGGAAGGCCUUCGGGUUGUAAACUCCUUUUGUCAAGGAAGAAGCUCUGACGGUACUUGACGAAUAAGCCCCGGCUAACUCCGUGCCAGCAGCCGCGGUAAUACGGAGGGGGCUAGCGUUGUCCGAAGUUACUGGGCGUAAAGCGCGCGUAGGUGGGGAGCUAAGUCUGCUGUGAAAGCCCGGAGCUCAACUCCGGAGGGUCGGUGGUAAAUACUGGUUCUCUUGAAGGUGCUAGGGGGAGAUGGAAUUACCGGUGUAGCGGUGAAAUGCGUAGAGAUCGGUAGGAACACCAGUGGCGAAGGCGGUCUCCUGGGGCAUUCUUGACGCUGAGGCGCGAAAGCUGGGGGAGCGAACGGGAUUAGAUACCCCGGUAGUCCCAGCCCUAAACGAUGGAUACUAGGUGUCGGGGGUAUCGACCCCUCCGGUGCCGCCGCUAACGCAGUAAGUAUCCCGCCUGGGGAGUACGGCCGCAAGGUUGAAACUCAAAGGAAUUGACGGGGGCCCGCACAAGCGGUGGAGCAUGUUGUUUAAUACGUCACUAACCGUAGAACCUUACCAGGGUUUGACAUCCGUCGCACCAGUGUGAAAGCACUGUCCCGAGCAAUCGGGCGGCGAGACAGGUGUUGCAUGGCUGUCGUCAGCUCGUGUCGUGAGAUGUUGGGUUAAGUCCCGCAACGAGCGCAACCCUCAUCCCAUGUUGCCAGCGAGUAAAGUCGGGAACUCUUGGGAAACUGCCGGGGUAACUCGGAGGAAGGUGAGGAUGACGUCAAGUCAGCAUGGCCCUUACACCCUGGGCUACAAACAAUGCUACAAAUGGACGGUACACAGACGGACCCGAGCUCGUGAGAGGGAGGCAAUCCGAAAAAUCCGUUCUCAGUUCGGAUCGCAGGCUGCAACUCGCCUGGCGUGAAGCCGGAAUCGCUAGUAGCCGCAGGUCAGCUAAACUGCGGUGAAUACGUUCCCGGGCCUUGUACACACCGCCCGUCACACCAUGGGAGCGGGUUUAUUACACAGAAGUAGGUAGCUUAACCGCAAGGAGGGCGCUUACCACGGUAGGAUUCGUGACUGGGGUG